rnacentral:rRNA from 1 species
AACGAACGCUGGCGGCAUGCCUAACACAUGCAAGUCGAACGAGACCUUCGGGUCUAGUGGCGCACGGGUGCGUAACGCGUGGGAACCUGCCCUUAGGUUCGGAAUAACUCCCCGAAAGGGGUGCUAAUACCGGAUAAUGUCUUCGGACCAAAGAUUUAUCGCCUUUGGAUGGGCCCGCGUUGGAUUAGCUAGUUGGUAGGGUAAAAGCCUACCAAGGCGACGAUCCAUAGCUGGUCGGAGAGGAUGAUCAGCCACACUGGGACUGAGACACGGCCCAGACUGCUACGGGAGGCAGCAGUGGGGAAUAUUGGACAAGGGGCGAAAGCCUGAUACAGCAAUGCCGCGUGAGUGAUGAAGGCCUUAGGGUUGUAAAGCUCUUUUACCCGGGAUGAUAAUGACAGUACCGGGAGAAUAAGCUCCGGCUAACUACGUG